UUAGUUGUAAGAAUGUGCAUUAAUUUUGACAUUGAAGACAACUUUUUGGCGUUAAUCCCAGUAGUAGAGACCACAGGGGCUGCACUUUAUGAAAUUUUAAUCAACUUCCUUACCGAAAAUGGUGUUCCAUAUAAGUCAAACUUUAUUGGCUUUGCUUCAGAUGGAGCGAGCAACAUGGUUGGCGUUAAUAAUUCUGUGGUCAGUCGAUUGCGAGAAAAUAUUCCAGGUAUAUUCAUAAUGAAAUGCAUAUGCCAUAGCUUUCAUUUGUGUGCAUCAUAUGCAUGCCACAAGUUGCCUGAGGAAGUGGAACAAUUUGCGAGAGAAGUAUAUAACUAUUUUUCAAAUAGUCCGAAGAGAGUGGAAGAAUAUAAGGAAUUCCAGGAAUUUGCAAAUGUCUCAAUAUCGAAGAUUUUACAUCCUAGCCAGACACGUUGGUUAUCUCUGGAAUGCGUGGUUAAAAGGCUUCUUAAUCAAUAUGAAGCUUUGAGGUUGUAUUUCGUAGAUCAGGCGUCUCUUAAAAUCAGUCAAGCAAAUAUUAUUUUAGAAAAACUAAACACGCCCGAAAAUAAAUUAUACUUAUCAUUUUUAUCGCAUGUAUAACCUAUUUUUAAUAGCUUAAACAAAUUAAUGCAAAGCGAAUCGCCCAAAAUUCACGUUAUUUAUAAAGAGGUUGCUAGAACAGUUAAAACAAUUUUAGAUUAUUAUAUUAAGGACGAAUAUCUAAAUGCCAACAUUGAAAAUAUAGAUUUUAAAGACCCUAGACUUUUUUUAAAUUUAAAUGACAUGUACUUUUCUGCCCACAUAAACUCUGCCGAUCUGGAGAAAAACCGACUCGACAUGGUAAAAUUAAGAUGUCUAGACUUUUAUAUUGAGAGUGUGGAGCAAAUAUUGUCAAGAUUUCCACUUAAAAACUCUGUGUUUCAGAAAUUAGAAUUUCUAGAUCCUGAGGUAGUUAAAUCAAGAAAAAUCAGGUCUAUAAGUAAUGUUUCUAUGUUGUUUCAAAAUUUAAUUCCUGCUGAUAUGCAAGUUAUUGACAAUGAAUGGUUGUUACUUAGAAAUUAUGAAAUUAAUUUUACCUGGAAAGGUAUUUGCGAUUUUUGGGGUAAAAUUGCUAAGAUUAAAUGUGUGGAAAAUACAGAAUCCCGGUUUCCCAAUUUAAGUAAUUUUGUGUUUAAUUUAUUAACUUUGCCGCAUUCCAGUGCUAACGUAGAGAGGGUGUUUAGUCAGAUAAAUUUAAACAAAACAAAACAGAGAAAUCGGUUGAAAACUCCUAUGAUAGCUGCUAUACUGCACACCAAAAGUUUAGUGGGCAGAGAAAACCGUAUUUGUUCAAAUUUUCCAAUAGGAAAAGAUUUGCUUAAAAAAUUAAAUAAACAAAUUUAUGAUUCCGAUGAGUCAGAAUAAAAUAACGGAUAUUUCGGAUUUUUGUUUUUCAGUUAUUUACUUUAAGAUUAUGUACGUUUGUUUACUUUAACAUAUAAUUUUAUGUUUUUAUUUAAAUUUGUUAAUAAAAAAGUAGAUAUUUUGGUA
rnacentral:lncRNA from 1 species